CGCGGCUGCUGCUGCCAGAGCGUUAAGCUUAAACGUAAUCCCGCUGGUUUUUCUUAUGCUUAGAGUAAAAGCUUUUCUUUUACUGAGAUGUAMUAGUUUUGCCGAUGCUCUUAAAAAUGGCUUUACAAGUUUACAGAGAUUAGAAAUACAUUUUUCUGGCAUCAAAAAUGGGGCUGUCGUUUAAUUUAAAAAGAAGAUGCAAACGAGCUGUUAAACCCGGUUAGCAAGCGCUUACAGUCUUUGAUUAGCUUGCUGUUACCUGGCAUCAGAACUGAUCAAGGAGUACUUCCCUGGGCACUCCAGAUCUUUUGGGCCACAUGAGGGAAAAUAAAGACAAGCAAGGACUCUUUAAGAGCAGACUGAUUUCAUUCCAGGAGGCAGGACCAGAAGAAGGUGAGCAAGGUCUGGCCGUGACCCUCAGCAACAAAUAUCAAGGGAUCACAAUAUGCAAAGGAUCACAGGGUUUGGCCUCAGUGGAAGGGCGUGAGCUUUGUGGAUGCCCAGGACUGUACAGAUUACCACACUCUGUAUCUCGUCAAAUCUAUGCUGACAUUCAUAGUCUGAAAAAAUAGACCAUUGUGUGCUACAAGACUGACAAGAAAUAUGUCAAUAAAUAAAUCCAGGAAGUCA
rnacentral:lncRNA from 1 species